rnacentral:rRNA from 1 species
GGUAUUGAAAUAAGAUUUUAAAUGAGUGCUAAGAGAAUGAUUAAACAAUUAAAAACUUUCUUUAAUUAAAAAAUUAAAUUUAAUUUUUUUGGUGCAAAAGCAAAAAUAAAAUUUAGGGACAAGAAGACCCUAUGAAUUUUUAUUAUUAAUAUUAUGUAAUUAAAUUAUUAAUAAUUUAAUUGGGGUGAUAAAAAAAGAAUAAGUAUCUUUUUAAUUAUAAAAUAAGUUCCGUUUUUAGCGAUUAAAUGAAAAAAAUACUCUAGGGAUAACAGCGUAAUAAUUUUGGAUAGUUCAUAUAGAUAAAAUAGUUUGCGACCUCGAUGUUGGAUUAGGAUUCUUUUUUGGUGAAGAA